rnacentral:rRNA from 1 species
GACGAACGCUGGCGGCGUGCUUAACACAUGCAAGUCGAACGGAAAGGCCCUGCUUUUGUGGGGUGCUCGAGUGGCGAACGGGUGAGUAACACGUGAGUAACCUUCCCUUGACUUUGGGAUAACUUCAGGAAACUGGGGCUAAUACCGGAUAGGAGCUCCUGCUGCAUGGUGGGGGUUGGAAAGUUUCGGCGGUUGGGGAUGGACUCGCGGCUUAUCAGCUUGUUGGUGGGGUAGUGGCUUACCAAGGCUUUGACGGGUAGCCGGCCUGAGAGGGUGACCGGCCACAUUGGGACUGAGAUACGGCCCAGACUCCUACGGGAGGCAGCAGUGGGGAAUAUUGCACAAUGGGCGGAAGCCUGAUGCAGCAACGCCGCGUGCGGGAUGAAGGACUUCGGGUUGUAAACCGCUUUCGCCUGUGACGAAGCGUGAGUGACGGUAAUGGGUAAAGAAGCACCGGCUAACUACGUG